rnacentral:rRNA from 1 species
AACGCGAAGAACCUUACCUGGUCUUGACAUACGCAUAAUCUUGUAGAGAUACAAGAGUGCCUUCCGGAAUUGUGAUACACGUGCUGCAUGGGUGUCGUCACCUCGUGUCGUGAGAUGUUGGGUUAAAUCCCGCAACGAGCGCAACCCUUGUCCUUAUUUACCACCACUUCCGGUGGGAACUCUAAGGAUACUGGCAGUGACAAACUGGAAGAAGGGGGGGACGAAGUCCAGUCAUCAUGGCCCUUACUACCAUGGCUACACACGUGCUACAAUGGUAGGUACAGAGGGCAUCUACACACCGAUGUGAUGCCAAUCUCAAAAAGCCUAUCGUAAUCCAGAUUGGAGUCUGCAACUCCACUCCAUGAAGUACGAAUCGCUAGUAAUCCCGGAUCAGAAUGCCGCGGUGAAUACGUUCCCGGGUCUUGUACACACCGA